GCAGCCAUGUGGGAGGGUACGCGUGAGUGUGUGUGCGAGUGCACGUGCAUAGGUGUUGGGGCUGAAGUCAAAAUGAGACUCCUCGCCAUCUCUCCAUGCACACUUCAACAGCGACUGCCCCAUCUCACCUCCUGCCCCCUUUCACUCCCUCUUCUGUCCCCCUAAACAGUCAGGCCCCAGUCCUCGACGAGUGGGGGAUGGAAGGCGCGGGAAAGAGAAGGGGCCCGCAGUAAUCGCUGGUGCCAGCAGGAAGGUUGCCUGACCACCAGUGAUCGCUCGCUGCCUGCCUGCUUGCCUGGACUCCGUUCUCCGACAGGGAGUGGAAGCCUGCUUUGGAAGAACAAGAGCAGUAUGGCAGAGGUCCCUCUGAAGGUAUAGGCAGAGGAGGGCGAGCCAAGGAAUUAUUCAGAACCUACUCCUGGCUUGGAUGCAAAUUAUCCUACCAGCAAAGGAACCCAGUUUGGCAGUCCUUGUGGUGUUGGGUGCUACCUUCCCGUCUGUGUGGGUUUGGUACAGACAGUGGGUCUGGUGGGCUGACUAAAGCUCUCUCUCUUCCUCCAUGAUUUACUCUACCUUAGAAGAAAGGAAAGGGAUCUUUGAGUUCAGAGUACCAGUCCAGCCAAAUCCAAACAACUCAACUUUCCCGAUGAUAUUGGCAGAUCUCUCUGCCCAAAGACCCUCAUCAGCACUCUAGGUUCUGGAGACCUGACAUAUUAGUGAGUUUACCCUGGGUAGAGGGGAAAGUAAGGUAAGAGGAACUACAGGAAAUAAGCUGGGAAGAGUCCUGAAAAUACUGUUUGGUUUUUUUUUUUUGAGACAUGGUCUCACUAAUGUAGCACCUGGAACUUACUAUGUUGACCAGGCUAGGCACAAGAGAUCUGUCUGCCUCUGCCUCACAAGUGCUAGAACUAAAGAUAUAUGCCUCCAUGCCUACCAGCUUUGCCUUAAAAACAAUUAUUCAUGUGCAUACCAUGCUGUACAUGUGGAAGUCAGACACAAUGUUGUGUGUGUCUGUGCACAUGCCAUGCUUGCUGUACGUGUGGAGGUCAGAGGACAACCUUGUGGAACUGCUCUCUUUCUACCUUUAAAUGGCAACUAAACUCAGGUAACUAAGCUUGCCUGGCAAGCACCUUUCCCUGUUAGCUUUGCUUUUUACCAGGUGUGUGGCUCUGGGCCAGCUUCUUCUUUCUUUCCUUCCUUCCUUCCUUUCUUUCUUUUUCUUUCCUUUCUUUUUCUUUUCUUUUCUUUUCUUUUUUUUUUUUUUUGAGACAGGGUUUCUCUGUGUAACAACUCUGACUAUCCUGGCACUCACUUUGUAGACCAGGUUGGCCUUGAACUCACAGAGAUCCUCCUCCCUCUGCCUCUGGAGUGCUGGGAUUACAGGUAUGUGCCACCAUCCCCCCAGCUCUGGGAUAACUUUUAAGUGUGUGUCUCAGUUUUAAAUUCUCAUAAAACUGGAAAAGGUUGCUGGCAGGUGGUGGUGGAGGUGGCAUACUAUUUUAAUCAUAGUGCCUGGGAAGCAGAGGCAGGUGGAUCUGCAGAGUGAGUUCCAGGACAGCCAGGGCUGAAAAACAAAAACAAAACAAACAACAAAACAAACAAAGCCAGAAGUGGAAAAGGUGCUGGGGAGAUGAUUCUGUUGGUUAAACACUGGCCUCAAAAGCUUGAGGAAUUGAGUUUAGAUCCCCAGAAUCCACAUAAAAAAAACACAUGUGGUGGCAUGUGCUUUUUGUUUUUUUUUUUGUUUGUUUGUUUUUUCAAGACAGGGUUUCUCUGUAUUGUUUUGGAGGCUAUUGG